rnacentral:rRNA from 1 species
UACAGAGACCUCAAGCGUUAUCCGGAAUCAUUGGGCGUAAAGCGUACCGAUAGGUGGUUGAUUAAGUCUUGGGUAAAAGCCAGAAGCUUAACUUCUGAGUUUGCUUAAGAUACUAAUCAGCUAGAGGGGCAAAUAGGAAGCUGGAACGAGCGGUGUAGUAGUGAAAUGCGUUGAUAUCGCUCGGAACACCGAAAGCGUAGGCAGGCUUCUGGGUGCCACCUGACACUGCUAGGACGAAAGCGUGGGGAGCGAACAGG